UGCGCGGCCUCGGAGACGCGCGCUCCCGGACCGCCCAAGUCCGGCAGUCUUCCUCUCUGCGGCUUACCCAGAUUCUGGGUUUGGGUUUUCUGGACAUUUGGGCAGUGAAAUACCCACCCCCGCCCACCAGCCGCACCCACCCGGGAAGUGGGGAAGGGAGGGAACCCUGUGAACUGUGGAUUGGGUUGAGUGCUCAGCUCAGAGCCUGGCGCACGAUAGGACCCGCUGGACCCUGGAUGGAUGGCUAGAUGGAUGGGUCCAAGAAAGGAUGGGGGAGGUGGCAGGACGAGUGCCCCUGUUCACACGCAGACCCGAUUGCUGUAUUGAAGGAGGAGCAGCCGCCAGCGUAAUAGUAGCGGCUGCAACGUAGGAAUCAGGGCGUCUGCUGCCUCUACGUGUACGUUUACACCUUCUUUGCCUCGGGUUGAAAUGCUGCCUUUGAGUGCAGGUUGAGCUGGACGUGAGCACGCCGCACCUCGGAGCUUUUGUUCUAUGAGCGCUGGGGCUAUGUUCAUCUCGCAUAAACAAUUGCAGCUGCUCUGACGACACAGACCCUCUUCAGGAUCUCCAACAUCUUCCUGAACCGAAAAAUGAGGAAUUCUCUAAGGGAGAAGCUGCAGAGUAGGUAGGAGGGAGACAUUUGUAAAAUGCUACCUGUUGAGGUGCCCGCGUUUAAUGCAAACUUAACCUCGGAUUUGGUCCUAACGAAGUUCCUUUCAUUGUUUACUCCUCAGUAAACAAGUAUGACAUCAAUCCACCUCAGUGCUGGGAAACUGGGGGAGGGGCAUAGAGCCAUCGUUAAUCCAGGCUUGGGGGCUCCCAGACCAUCUGAAAAGUAACCCAGAGAAACACCAAUUUUCUAUUUUAAAUAGAUAUGAUUUCGAAUAUGGUACUUUGAACCACUCGUGCCACAUAUCACCAACCUUGUUAUUAUGAUGGAGCAUUUUGUGGUUUCUGUUGGUUCGCUCUGUUUUCCUAUAUUAAAGAUACACUU
rnacentral:lncRNA from 1 species